GUCAUUCAAGGCUAAUAAUGUUUUGUUUUCCACAGGUUUUUCAUGAUGCAUUCUUCAAAUAUCAAACAAAACCCAAGUUGACUAGUCAUGGUGAUCUGCAUUUGAAGGGAAAGAGUUUGAGCUGAAGCUUAAGAUAAUGAAACCAGGUAUGCUGUACCAGGAGCUUAAGAAAGCUCUUGGUAUGCCUGAUGGUGCCCUGCCCCCAUGGCUUACCAGGAUGCAGUUCGUUGGUCCUCCAACCUCUUAUCCUUAUCUGAAGAUCCCAGGUUUAAAUGCCCCAAUCUCUCGUGGAGACACUUUUGGUGAUGGACCCGAUGAGGAAGAACCUCUGGAUCGCAGCAAACACUGGGUAGAUUCGGACGACGAAGAGGAUGAAGAGGAAGAAGAGGAGGAGGAACUAAUUAUUCAUGGGGAAAUAGAAGAAGGCAUUAUGUCUGUUGACACCAUCUCAAGAGCAAGAGGAGCGGGAAGAUCGGCGGGGAAGGGAGCUAGCCAUUGUGGUUGUCUUGGAAGAAGAAGAGCAGGAAGAUGGACUUCAAGUUUUAGAAGAGUAAGAGAAUGACCUCUAUUUUUCGUCUGCGAACUAACUCAUUGGAGGAGGUAGAUUAGUGUUUGACGACCUGAUGAACAGCUCCCGUCGCACGGAGGAGAAUGUGUAGCUCGUGCGGAGUAGUGUAGAUGCUGGAGUACGAGGAAUGUGGUUUAGGUGAUGCCUUAGGUAGGAUGUAAAGUUUGAUUUUUGUAAGGUGGGAUUCGGCUGCUGGCCUUGAAGAUAGUGUCAGUGGCUAGACUUGUUAGACUGAAGAUAGUGACAGUGGCCUUGAACAGGCUAUCCGCCUAGGAGGAUGCAAAAAAUAGUCAAAACAUUAGAAGACUUGUUUUUCACCGUGCAGUAUUUCUGUAGAGGUAUAGUUGAUCAAUCCCACUACAUAAUUUGCCUUCUUGAGUCUGAAUCACCAGGUGGCCAUCAAAUAGCUGUUGAAAUGAUAUCAGCAGAUGGGCACUCUCAC